rnacentral:lncRNA from 1 species
CCAAUCACUUUGCGAAUACCCUGUGUCCAAAUAUGCUUCUCCAUCAUUUACACCGAUUACAUUGUACCGGUUCUGUUCACCCAUUUGACUGAAAUAAUGUCAAGAGUGGGUUUAGAUUCUCCUCCUAAAAGCAUUAUUGGCAAUUGGGCAGAUGUGUUCAAGUGGUCCAAAAUAGGAGGGGCAGAGUACACUGACACUUCA